rnacentral:rRNA from 1 species
UACACUCCUACGGGAGGCAGCAGUGGGGAAUAUUGCACAAUGGGCGCAAGCCUGAUGCAGCCAUGCCGCGUGUAUGAAGAAGGCCUUCGGGUUGUAAAGUACUUUCAGCGGGGAGGAAGGCGAUAAGGUUAAUAACCUUGUCGAUUGACGUUACCCGCAGAAGAAGCACCGGCUAACUCCGUGCCAGCAGCCGCGGUAAUACGGAGGGUGCAAGCGUUAAUCGGAAUUACUGGGCGUAAAGCGCACGCAGGCGGUCUGUCAAGUCGGAUGUGAAAUCCCCGGGCUCAACCUGGGAACUGCAUUCGAAACUGGCAGGCUAGAGUCUUGUAGAGGGGGGUAGAAUUCCAGGUGUAGCGGUGAAAUGCGUAGAGAUCUGGAGGAAUACCGGUGGCGAAGGCGGCCCCCUGGACAAAGACUGACGCUCAGGUGCGAAAGCGUGGGGAGCAAACAGGAUUAGAUACCCGAGUAGUCCCAUG